rnacentral:sRNA from 1 species
GCCAGGCAUGGUGGUGCAUGCCUGUAGUCCCAGCUACUCAGGAGGCUGAGGCAGGAGAAUCGCUUGAACCCAGGAGGCAGAGGUUGCAGUGAGUGGAAAUCAUGCCACUGCACUCCAGCCUGGGUGACACAGCGAGACUCCGUCUCAA